UGUCAGUGACACGGAAGCUGCCUCCUGUAGAGAGAGAUGGCACUGGCUGCAGCUAGGGGGAGCUCCAGAGCACAGCUCCUCCCGGGCCCUUAGUAAGCCAGCCGAGGGAAGCUCAGAACUCUCUGCUCCUCCAUGCUCUGGAUGAUAGCCAAAGACAGCUGAAUCCCGCCCUGCCAGUUUUUGUGCGCCCUGCCGCCCCGCCGUUUGCUGCCUGCCGGACCCCUCCACGUCGGCCAGCCGUGCGCCGCCAGACCCGUAUUUUGUGGCGAUCAUCAGUAGGAAUCCCUGAAUAAUCAAUUCUGAAGCCAUGGUGUAAGAAACUAAAAUGUGCAAAACAAAAAAAUACCAAAAUGGAAAAUACUUUCUACAUCCAAUA